rnacentral:rRNA from 1 species
UACGAAGGGGGCUAGCGUUGCUCGGAAUUACUGGGCGUAAAGCGCACGUAGGCGGCUUUCUAAGUCGGGGGUGAAAUCCCGGGGCUCAACCCCGGAACUGCAUUGGAUACUGCCCUGCUAGAGUACUGGAGAGGAGACUGGAAUUUACGGUGUAGCAGUGAAAUGCGUAGAGAUCGUAAGGAAGACCAGUGGCGAAGGCGAGUCUCUGGACAGUUACUGACGCUGAGGCACGAAAAGCGUGGGGGAGCGAACGGG